GCUAGUAAUCGCAGAUCAGCAUGCUGCGGUGAAUACGUUCCCGGGCCUUGUACACACCGCCCGUCACACCAUGGGAAUCGGUAACACCCGAAGUCGGUAGCCUAACCGUAAGGAGGGCGCCGCCGAAGGUGGGAUUGAUGACUGGGGGUGAAGUCGUAACAAGGUAAC
rnacentral:rRNA from 1 species